rnacentral:rRNA from 1 species
UCGCCUGUUUUUACAAAAACAUCGCCUCUUGUAAUCCAAAAAUAAGAGGUCCUGCCUGCCCAGUGACUUAGUUCAACGGCCGCGGUAUUUUGACCGUGCAAAGGUAGCGCAAUCACUUGUCUUUUAAAUGAAGACCUGUAUGAAUGGCAAGACGAGGGCUUAACUGUCUCCUUUUUCAAGUCAAUGAAAUUGAUCUCCCCGUGCAGAAGCGGGGAUACUACCAUAAGACGAGAAGACCCUAUGGAGCUUUAGACACUAAAGCAGCUCUUGUCAAUACCCUAAGAAUAAUUAGACUAAACUUUGGGAACCCUGCUUCAAUGUCUUUGGUUGGGGCGACCACGGGGAAGUAAGUAACCCCCGCGCGGAAUAAGAGAACAUCUCUCGCAACCAAGAGCUUCUGCUCUAAGUAACAGAAUAUCUGACCAUAACGAUCCGGUAAGACCGAUCAACGGACCGAGUUACCCUAGGGAUAACAGCGCAAUCCUCUUUUAGAGUUCGUAUCGACAAGAGGGUUUACGACCUCGAUGUUGGAUCAGGACAUCCUAAUGGUGCAGCCGCUAUUAAGGGUUCGUUUGUUCAACGAUUAAAGUCCUACGUGAUCUGAUUUCAGACCGGA